rnacentral:rRNA from 1 species
AUGGCGUCGAGCGGUGCAAUGGUGUUGGCCAUGAUGGGCCUCCUCGCCGCGCUGGUCUGCCCUGCUGCUGCGGCGGCGACGGAGUUCAUUUCCAUGCCCACCGACAACGUCGGCGACCACUCCUACGGCGUCCACGCCACGGUCUGCCCCAACCUGGAGAACAUUGUGCGCGACAAGGUGGCGGAUGCACGCAGAAACGACAUCAGCGUCGUCGCCGGCCUCCUCCGCAUCUUCUUCCACGACUGCUUCCCUAACGGCUGCGACGCAUCGCUCCUGCUGGAACCAAGUCACCUCUACUCCAGCGAGCAGGACCUUCCCCAAAACAAAGGGCUGCACGAGGGCGCGCUCCAACUCAUCCAGCGUAUCCGCGAUGCCGUGCGCGAAGCCAAGUGCACGGACGUGUCGUGCGCCGACAUCACCAUGCUCGCCACCCGGGACGCCCUCAUGAUGUCCGGGGCACCAAGGUACGACGUGCACCUUGGCCGCAAGGACAGCAAGCGCCCCGCCUCGUUUGCCGAGGUCGGACGCUUCCUGCCCGCACGCGAUGCCAAGAUCAGGGAUCUCAUCCAGGUCUUCGACAGCCGCGGCUUCAACAAGGGUGACCUAGUCGCGCUCUCCGGCGCACACACCAUCGGCAAGGCAACCUGCCCGAGCCUAGAAUUCCGCACCGGGGAGCCUGCCUGGUUCGUCAAGGCAAUCAAAGAGAAUUGCCCCAGAUCAGGGGACAAGAAGCACAUACUCGAUGUUACCACCCCCGACGUGUUCGACAACAAGUACUACGGCAAUCUCCUCGUAGGGUUGGGUGUGCUUGGCACCGACAUGGAGCUCCUCCAACACCAGGAAACAAGAUUUUUUGUAGAAAACUGGGCUAAGGACGAGCAUCUGGGGUGGUUCCAUGGGCACUUCGCCGCCGCCAUGAAGAAGAUGGCAGAUUUGCCCGUGGACCCAAAUGGCGAGUACCGCGACAACUGCUUCAGGCCCAAGUUGGUGAGGAACCUCACCGCAGACGGUUUCGUGGCCUCGGCUUGA